CUACACGUUGCUGUAGUAAUUGGUGGGUUUAUUUGGACCACUUGUUGACAGGCUCAGAUUACAAGGUUUUUUAUUCUUAUUUAUAGUUGACUGGGUUAUUUUUAUGAAUUUGCAACGCUGGCAACAGUCGCAGAAAAAAACCCAAGUCGCUGUCAUUGCGCGCACAUUUGAGGACGGGCGGAAUAUUGUGAGUACUUGUUGCGAACCAUACGGCGGCGGCAGCGUCCCAGAGCUGUCAAAUAUUGCGCACAGCCGAUCUACAGUCAGUGGAGUAACCAGACUAAUCCAUCAGACAGACAACUCGGAAGAUUAGCCUUUUUACCCUGACCAAACUAUUUUUCUCUACCUACCCGGAAGCCUGUUUUUUUUUAAAAGUCAUGAUCAUUUUUUUUGUCACAUGGCUUUUGGAGAAUUCAAUAACAACAAAAAAUGGCGACAAUCACGUUGCUCUGUGUGGUCUUGCUGCGUCAUUAAAAAUAUUCAUGUAAACACGGGGAAUUAAACACGGAAAUAGCAGCAACAAGCUUGGCCGUGCUUAUUUCAGUUCUGGGUGUAGGAUGUGACGCUUUAUUCUGCACAAGGCGUUAAUCGAAGGCAGUCUGGUGUGUAAUGUGUUAGAAGCUAGGUAUUUACAUUGAGGUUUUAUGCAAUAUGGAUGCGCUUUGCCCACAGAGUCACUAUUUACGCACAACAAACGUGGCGUUUCUGAACAGUGCGUUGUUUUAUUUUUUUGUGUUUCUUUUUUUUUUUUUUUUUUUAAUUAUUUUUAUUUUUUUUUUCGUGCGUCCUGUUGUGUUUGUGCACAUGUUGCGCCGCCGUCCACGUCUGACAUGAACAUUUUUUUGGCCAGUGCCCUGUGCAGCGGGGCUAAUGGAGUUGUUUACAUCAAGUGCAGAGGGCGGACUGACGGAGAGGAGGAGCCGCUACGUCGGCGCGAGACGCGACCGGACUGCUCGAGAGGCUCGCUCGCGCCGAGAGGGGAGGGGGCGGAGCUUCAGGAAGAAUCAUAACAAGUCUGACGUCACUCGGCCUUGUGGUUCGUAUGAAUAAUAUUUAUUGUGUGUCUCUAACAGGUCCGAGCAGGAAGAAGGAGGAGAGAGGAGAGAGGAAGCAGGCUGUGUCUACCUGAAUGUGGUUUUAUUAGAGGAAGCAUUGACAUUAACGCAACACUUUAAUCAACGGCAUAAUUAUUUAAAAAAAAAAAAAAAAAAAAAAAAAAGAAUAUUUAUAUGCAGAAACGUGAGCUUUACUUCUAGUUUUCAACACUGGGUUUGAUUUUUUUUUUUUUUUUUUUUUUUUUUGCAAUUCAUCAAGUUCAUUUAUUAUACAUGAAGUAGAUGUAAAAAAAUAAAUAAAUAAAUAAAAACCCAAAAACAGUUAAAUCAACGGUUUAAUAAUUUUAAAAAUGAACAUUUAUAUGCAGAAUAUAUAAGCUUUACUUCGAGUUUUCAACACUGAGUUUUUUUUGUUUUGUUUUUCAAUUUGUCAACUUCAUUUAUAAUGCAUGAAGUAGAUGUAAAAACAAACAAAAAAACAGUUAAAUCAACGGUAUAAUAAUUUUUUUAAAAAUGAACAUUUAUAUGCAGAAACGUGAGCUUUACGUUGAGUUUUCAACACUGUGUUUGAUUUUUAUUUAUUUAUUUAGUUUUUGUAGUUCAUCAAGUUCAAUUAUUAUACAUGAAGUAGAUGUAAAAAAAAAAAAAAAAAAAAAAAAAACAGUUAAAUCAACAGUAUAAUAAUUUUUUAAAAUGAACAUUUAUAUGCAGAAUACAUGAACUUUACUUUGAGUUUUCAACACUGGGUUUGAUUUGUUUUAUUUUUUUUAUUUGCAGUUCAUGAGGUUCAUUUAUUAUACAUAAAGUAGAUGUAAAAACAAACAAACAAAAAAACAGUUAAAUCAAUGGUAUAGUAAUUUUUAAAAAAUGACCAUUUAUAAGCAGAAAACAUGAGCUUUACUUCUAGUUUUCAACACUGGGUUUGAUUUUUUUUUUUUUUUUAAUUCAUCAAGUUCAUUUAGUAUACAUGAAGUAGAUGUAAAAACAAAAACAAAAAAAAAAAACUGUUAAAUCAACGGCAUAAUAAUUUAAAAAAUAAACAGUCAUAUGCAGAAACGUGAGCUUUACUUCUAGUUUUCAACACUGUUUGAUUUUUUUAUUAAUAUUUUUUGCAAUUCGUCAAGUUCAUUUGUUAUACAUGAAGUAGAUGUAAAAACAAAAAAAAAGUUAAUAAUUUUUAAAAAAUGAACACUCAUGCAGAAACGUGAGCUUUACUUCUAGUUUUCAACACUGUGUUUGAUUUUUAUUUUUAUUUUUUUGCAAUUCAUCAAGUUCAUUUAUUAUACAUAAAGUACAUGUAAAAACAAACAAAAAAAAACCCCUGUUAAAUCAACGGCAUAAUAAUUAAAAAAAAAAAAAUAUUCAUAUACAGAAACAUGAGCUUUACUUCUAGUUUUCAACACUGUGUUUGAUUUUUUUAUUAAUAUGUUUUGCAAUUCAUCAAGUUCAUUUGUUAUACAUGAAGUAGAUGUAAAAACAAAAAAAAACAUUAAAAUAGUCAGUUUGUACAACUUUUUUUUUUUUAACUUUAUUUAUAGAACAUUGUGAACAUUUUAGACAGUGUGAUAUACAACAAAAGGUAUAAAAAGGUAGAAUAAACAUUGAUCGUCACACCUGAAUGUUAACUACAAGACCCAAAUAAGAAAGAAAAAAACAGAGACCAGUUCAACUAGAAAAAAUAAAAAUAAAUAAAUAAAUAAUGAAAAUAAAAAACAUAAUAUUAAAUGCAAUAACAAAAAAGUAAAUAAAUAAUUACACAUAUCGAUCCUCCAACUCAGAGGAAAAGUCUAGAGAAUGUAUAUCGUUAGUUUGUACAACUUUUAAAACUAUUAGGUUUCUGGUGUUGUGGGUGGAGCCAGUGUCAUGUGACUGGAUGAUGUGCAAUUACAAAACAGCAUUUUCAUAUCAUAUUGAACAACUACUACAAUAUUUAUAAGAGAAAGACAAUCAUAAUGCUCAGUUCUUAAAGUAAAUAUAAUCCAUGUUCUUUUGUGCCUCAAAAAUGAUUUAACAUUAGCGGAUGGAUUUAAAAUGUGAUUUUGCAAGAACUCAAAUUAGAGCAGCGUAAUCUUCCCCUAGGCUGCACAUAUUUUCACGUUGCUUGUUCCGAUAGAAAACAUAGAUUCAUACAUGUUUAAGUUUUUACAUUCAGUAAAGCCUAGGUAAUAUUUCCUCCAUGUGGGAGCUUGAAAUGAGCAUAAUUUCAGACUUUCUUUCAAAGUUUUAAAAUCAUUUAAUCAGGUUUUAGUUCAUUGAAUUGCUUUGUUUGUCUCAAUUUAGUAAUAUUUUCUCAUGAAUAGUCUAUCCAAAUGAGCUUUUUAAACACUAUUGUUAAUAAAAGUCAGAUUGUUUGGAGUGCUGUAUGAAAUUCCUCACUUGCUCCCAUAUGUUUUGUCUAGGAAUGUUUUUUUUUUUAACCCACUGACCCCCAGUGCCACUUGCAGGUUGAUGAAUGGAACGGUGGACUGCUAGAUUUGACAGGCUGCCCUGGUUCAGUUAUCACAGUGCUGAUGCUGUCCCCAUCGAAGGUACAGUACUGUGAUAACUGAAGGAUGGCUGCCAACUUGACUCUAAAGCAGCGGAUUAAAGCACAUUCACCUGAGAAUUAUCCAACGAGAAGGUGGAGAAGAGUGAGUCUACAAACAAGAACACUGGUAUAAGUUAAUAAGUUCAUGAAAUCUCUUUUCGCCUUUUAAUGUCAGCUGAGUUUGACCGGCUCAGUGGUCAUUUCUGUAAAUGUUUAUGCAUUGUUUUGUAUUAUAAGACAAAAUAAAGUCAUUUA